rnacentral:rRNA from 1 species
UACGGAGGGUGCAAGCGUUGUUCGGAAUUACUGGGCGUAAAGGGCGUGUAGGCGGUUUGGCAAGUCCGAUGUGAAAGCCCUGGGCUCAACUCAGGAAGUGCAUUUGAAACUGCCAUGCUAGAGUAUGGGAGAGGAGAGUGGAAUUCCCAGUGUAGAGGUGAAAUUCGUAGAUAUUGGGAGGAACACCGGUGGCGAAGGCGACUCUCUGGACCAAUACUGACGCUGAGACGCGAAAGCGUGGGGAGCAAACAGG